AAGUCGUAACAAGGUUUCCGUAGGUGAACCUGCGGAAGGAUCAUUACCAAUGUUUUCGGGGGACUUCGGUCCCUGUCUGAACCCUUGUCUUUUGCGUACUAUUUGUUUCCUUGGUGGGCUUUUGCCUGCCAAUAGGACACUAUAUCACCCUUUGUAAUUGCAAUCAGCGUCAGAAAAACAUAAUAGUUACAACUUUCAACAACGGAUCUCUUGGUUCUG
rnacentral:misc_RNA from 1 species